GGAAAUAGGGAAGGGAAAAGUAGCCAGAGGCCGGUGUCUCUCUCGCGAGAGCAGAGUCACUCUCGCGAGGUUUGGGCUGCGUUUCCCACCCCCACCCCCAGCCUCAGCUAAGUGCCGUUUCGGUUUAACCUAGUGUGUGUGAGUGUGAGAGCGUGUGUGUGUGUGUGAGAGAGAGAGAGAGUGUGUGUGUGUUAGGGAGGUCUGAGGUGAGGGGAGCGGGUAGUGACUUCCCCAGGAAGGAGGGACAAAGGGAGCGGGGGGGGGCGCCCAGACCUCGGGCCCCCAGCGUCAGGAGGCCUCGGGGCGAGCCGGGCUGCCGGCUGGGGGAGGGCCCGCGCAGCCCUCUCAGACAGGCCCGCCCGGAGCCCGAGGCGGCCCUUCAGCUCCAGGGGGCCGGGCCGGCCUCCCCCACCCCUUGCGGGGCGGGAGCCUCGCUUUCAGUCUUUGAGGAGCUUUUUUAUUUUUCUGCUUUCCCCUCCUCGGGCCCUUCCCUCCACCUCAUGUAGGAAGGGGCCGAGGUGUAGGGAGGGAGGGGGGGCCAGGGCGGGCGCCUUCCCCCCCCACCUCUCUUCAGGAGGAGGCUUUGCUGGGUGUGAGUUGGGGGGGUGGGUGGGGAUUGACUUUGGGAAUUCUGGGGGAUUCCUCUCCCAUCUAGAAGUUAGGGGAAGGGGAAUGCCCAAUUCAGAGAGACAUGGGGGCAAGAAGGAUGGGGGUGGAGGGAGUUCUGGGGCCAUGCAUCCAUCAUCUUUGGGUGGUGGUGGCAGCUCCAAUAGCAGAGAGAGGCAUAGACUUGUGUCCAAACACAAGAGGCACAAGUCCAAGCACUCCAAAGACAUAGGCUCUCUAGCCCCUGAAGCAGCCCCAUUGAGCACCAUGAUCAAGCCUUUGGUGGAGUACGACGACAUCAGCUCUGAUUCGGACACCUUCUCUGAUGACAUGGCCUUCAAGCUAGAGAGAAGAGAUAAUGAUGAUCGUCGGGGUACUGAUAGGAGUGACCGGCUCCACAAACAUCGCCAUCAUCAGCACAGGCGUAUCAGAGAGUUAUUGAAGACCAAGCAGAUAGAGAAGGAAAAGAAGUUAGAAAAAAACCAAGAAGUCUCCAGCAAGUCCGUGUCCACGAAGGACCGAGUAUCUGGGACUUCAAAACGACUGAAUGAAGAGAAUGAUGAAUACGGGAAGGUACUGGUAUCUAAGAGUAGCAGUAAUAAGGAAUCCAGAUCAGCCAAAUUCCAUAAAGAGAAGACUCGAAAAGAACGAGAGUUAAAGUCUGGACACAAAGACCGUUCCAAAAGUCAUCGGAAAAGAGACCCACCCAAAAGCUACAAAUCAAUAGAUAGCCCCAAACGGAGAUCCAGGAGCCCUCACAGGAAAUGGUCUGACAGCCCUAAGCAAGAUGACAGUCCUUCUGGAGCAUCUUACAGCCAAGAAUAUGAUGUUAGUCCUCCAAGGUCUCAUACCUCCAGCAACUAUGACUCCUACAAGAAGAGCCCAGGUGGAUCCUCGAGGAGACAGUCAAUUAGUCCACCUUACAGAGAGCCAUCAGCCUACCAGUCCAGCACACGUUCACCCAGUCCAUACAGUAGGCGGCAGAGGUCAGUGAGUCCUUACAACAGGAGGCGAUCAUCCAGCUAUGAGAGGGGGAGUGGUUCAUAUGGUGGAAGAUCACCUAGUCCCUAUAGCCGAAGACGCUCUAGCAGCCCAUUUGUGACCAAGCGCUCUGUGAGUCGGAGCCCUCUCCCCAGGAAAUCAGUGAAAUCUAGAAGUAGAAGUCCUGUAUAUUCUAGACAUUCAUCUUCCCACAGCAAAAAGAAGCGAUCGGGUUCACGAAGUCGACAUUCUAGUAUCUCACCUACCAGGCUCCCAUUAAACUCCAGCCUGGGAGCUGAACUCAGCAGAAAGAAAAAGGAGAGGGCUGCUGCAGCAGCUGCUGCAAAAGUGGAUGGAAAAGAGGUGAAGGGGUCACCUGUAAUUUUGCCUAAAAAAGAAAACAUCUCAGGAGAGACUAAAGAAUCAAGCCUUGAGUCUAAAAAAUUAUCUAGAGUUUUAAAAUCUGAAAAAUCUGCUUCAGAUACGGAACUGGUGAAUUUAACACAUUUGAACACAGAGAUCAAAACUUCUUCAGAUCCAGGAAAAGUAAAAUUGGAUGAGAAUUCUGAGAAGAAGCAUCUUGUUUCUACUAAAGACUUGAAAUCACAGGGAUCAAAAGACUGUAAACCCAUAGCUUUGAAAGAGGAAAUUGUGAUUCCAAAGGAAUCAGAAACAGUGGAAAAAGAGGCUCUUCCACCUCUCCCCACAAUUACUUCUCCACCCCCUCUGCCAACCACCACCCCUCCACCUCAGACGCCUCCCCUGCCACCUUUACCUCCAUUACCUGCUGUUCCACAUCAACCACCUCUGCCACCUCUUCAACCAACUUUUAGUCAGGUCUCUAAUUCUGUUACCCCAACCUUGUCAUCUUCUCACCCAAGGACAUCUGCUCUAUCCUCUCAGGCAAAUUCUCAGCCCCUUGUACAGGUUUCUAUGAAGACACAGAUGUCUUUGACAGCUGCUAUUCCACACCUGAAAACUUCAACUUUGCCUCCUCUGCCACUUCCACCCUUACUUCUUGGAGAGGACGACUUGGAUAGUCCAAAGGAGAGUCUUCCUCCAAAACCUAUGAAGAAGGAGAAAGAACAAAGAACUCGGCAUUUGCUCAUGGACCUUCCUCUUCCUCCAGAACUUCCUGGUGGUGAUCCAUCUCCCCCAGAUUCUCCAGAACCAAAGGCUGUCACCCCACCUCAGCAACCAUAUAAGAAAAGACCAAAAAUCUGUUGCCCACGUUAUGGGGAAAGGAGACAAACAGAAAGUGAUUGGGGCAAGCGCUGCGUGGACAAAUUUGACAUAAUUGGAAUUAUUGGGGAAGGAACAUAUGGACAAGUAUACAAAGCCAAGGACAAAGAUACAGGAGAGCUAGUAGCCCUAAAGAAGGUGCGACUAGACAAUGAGAAAGAAGGCUUCCCAAUUACAGCCAUUCGUGAGAUCAAAAUUCUUCGACAGCUGAUCCACCGGAGUGUUGUUAAUAUGAAGGAAAUUGUCACAGAUAAACAAGAUGCACUGGAUUUCAAGAAGGACAAAGGUGCCUUUUACCUUGUAUUUGAAUACAUGGACCAUGACUUAAUGGGGCUGUUAGAGUCUGGAUUAGUACAUUUUUCUGAGGACCACAUCAAGUCUUUCAUGAAACAGCUAAUGGAAGGAUUAGAUUAUUGCCACAAAAAGAACUUCCUACAUCGGGAUAUUAAAUGUUCCAACAUUUUGCUGAACAACAGUGGACAGAUCAAGCUGGCAGAUUUUGGACUUGCUCGACUCUAUAGUUCUGAAGAGAGUCGUCCUUACACAAAUAAAGUUAUUACAUUAUGGUAUCGACCACCAGAACUGCUGCUAGGAGAGGAGCGCUACACACCAGCCAUUGAUGUUUGGAGUUGUGGUUGCAUCCUUGGGGAACUGUUUACAAAGAAGCCUAUUUUUCAAGCUAAUCUGGAAUUGGCUCAGCUUGAACUAAUCAGUCGACUCUGUGGCAGCCCCUGUCCAGCUGUGUGGCCUGAUGUUAUUAAGCUACCCUACUUCAACACAAUGAAACCGAAAAAGCAAUAUCGUAGGCGACUGCGUGAGGAAUUCUCUUUUAUUCCUUCGGCUGCUCUAGACUUGCUCGACCACAUGCUGACACUGGAUCCUAACAAGCGCUGCACUGCUGAGCAGGCCUUGCAGAGUGACUUUCUUAGAGAUGUUGAGCUCAGCAAAAUGGCUCCUCCAGACCUUCCCCACUGGCAGGAUUGCCAUGAACUAUGGAGCAAGAAACGUCGACGGCAGAGACAGAGUGGCAUUGUGGUGGAGGAACCACCUCUGUCCAAAACCUCUCGAAAAGAAACUACCUCAGGAGCAAAUGUGGAGCCUGUGAAGAACAAUAGCCCAGCACCACCCCAGCCUGCUCCUGUCAAGGUGGAACCUGGGGCUGGGGAUGCAAUAGGCCUUGGUGACAUCACACAGCAGCUGAAUCAAAGUGAACUGGCAGUGUUACUGAACCUGCUACAGAGCCAGACUGACCUGAGCAUCCCUCAGAUGGCACAGCUGCUCAAUGUCCAUUCCAAUCCAGAGAUGCAACAGCAGCUAGAGGCCCUGAACCAAUCCAUCAAUGCCCUCACUGAAGCCACUUCCCAGCAUCAGGAUUCCGAGCGUGUGGCCUUGGAGGAGACUGUGAAGGAGCCCCCCCCUGCCAUGGUAGCCCAACCCUCAGCAGAGCAGACAACCCCUGAAGCAUCUGGCACACCAGGUGACGUGCAGAAUGUGCUGGCAGUCCUCCUGAGUCAGCUGAUGAAAACCCAGGAACCAACAGGCAGCCUGGAGGAAAGCAAUGGAGAAAAGAGCAGUGGGCCACAGGGGCCUCGAAGAACUCCCACAAUACCACAGGAGGAGGCAGCAGCAUGUCCUCCUCACAUUCUUCCACCAGAGAAGAGACCCCCUGAACCCCCUGGACCUCCACCGCCGCCACCUCCACCCCCUCUGGUUGAAGGCGAUCUUUCCAGCGCCCCCCAAGAGUUGAACCCAGCUAUGACAGCCGCUCUACUGCAGCUUUUGUCCCAGCCUGAAACGGAACCUUCUGGCCACCUGCCACAUGAGCACCAGGCAUUGAGACCUAUGGAAUAUUCUACCAGAUCCCAUCCAAGCAGGACUUACGGAGGCACUGAGGGGCCUGAAACAGGGUUUAGUGCUACUGACACUGAUGAGCGCAAUUCCGGCCCAGCCUUGUCAGAACCUUUGGCCCAGACCCUGGCGAAGAGCAGGACUUUCUCAGGCUCUGUGAGCCAUCUUGGGGAGUCGAGCAGUUACCAGGGCACAGGAACAAGUUAAUAGCAGGAAGGAAGGCUCCUGAGAAAUGGGCACCAUGCCUACAAUACCUAACAUUUAGAGCCCUGGCAAACCUCUUGGCAUCCUUCUGGAGGUUUCUAGGAUUCUGAAAUCAGGUCUUGACAAAGACCCAGCACAUCCUGGGUGGUGAGUUCAAAUCCUGUUCCAGAAUCAAUAUAGACUUGGCAGCUGUCUUCUUCUUUUACUUCCAGCUCCUGGCCCAGGCAAGUCACAGUGAAAUAACCUUAUAUAAGUCAGCUUGGUGCCCUGCCUCUAAACAGGAUUUCCUGACAACCAGCUCAGAAUAAUAUGAUGGUAAAAGUGUCUUUCCCCUUCUCUCUCCAUAUUCCCAAAGAGAAGAAAGUCCUUAUUCUCUUUGAUUACUUCCUGCCCUCGUGGCAUCCAUUUCUGACCACUGAAAAAAAUCUUCUUGCUGCAGCUUUAUAUCCCACAAACAGAAAAGAGUCAGUUUUCUCAUUUGAUGGGUAUGGGAAGAAGGGACUAGUAAAACAAGAUGAUGGAAGAUAGGAAGAAAAGGCCCAACCAGGUGCGAACGCACCCCAUUUGCCCUUUUCCAUCAACACCAGAAACCCUAGGGAGUCAUUUUACCCAGUGGCCUGAAGACCUGAGGGCAUGUCCAGCCAGCUUGGAGAAGGGAAUUUGGAUAUGCCCCCAAGGAGAAGGAAUUGAGGCUGUGAGAUUCCACUAAUUCCCAGAACUUCCCCAGGGAAUGGAGAGUAUGUUGGCCAUAAGGAGGAAUCAGUCACCAGAUGUCACUCCAUCAGAGCUCAGGUGUCCACCUGGGCCCAGUGCCUGUGGAGAGCCAGCAAGAAGGGAUCAGGGCAUUUCCCCAUCUCCAGGCUUGUCAGAGCACAAUCAUCCUUCUCUGCACUAGGCUUCCUUCCUCUCCUGGUUCCUUCUCCAGUCAACUACCAGUCCCUCCCACAAGGGCAUGGUCCUUUAUGUGUGUAUCAAGUGGGGCCUGAGUGCUUCCCGGGCAGCGUCCUAUCCUGAACUUGCCAGGCCUGAUGGAGUGAUAAGGCAGGUGCCAGAGGGUCAAGAGAUGUCCUUGGAGCUUAAAAAGCAGCAGUUAGGUUCAGAGUUCUGAGGGGCACCAAGGGCAAAGAAUCCAUUUCUCUGCCCACCUCUGGCACCACCUGUCAGCCCAUGCAAUCUGACCAGCUGUCACCUCUGAGCUGCGGCUUUGGUGGUUAGGACAAGGGAUGUAAAUAUGGAGUGGAGGUGGGUGCAGUCUUGAUUUCUGCCACACGAGGGCACUGCCUACCAAUGUAAAAGCCUGCCCCGUGGGCACUACUUAGAGGGCAGAACCUGAGUAAGUGGGCAUGUUUUCUCUGGACUUCUCUCAGGACUCUUCCAUUGAGAAAUAUAACAUCUGUUUGGAAACCAAAGUAAUAAUUUCCACUGUUUGUCCUUUGCAUGGAGAUAUAAUAAUAGUGGAUGGAAUCCCUGGACACUUCCCAGAAGUCUAACAUCAAAGACUUCCCCCUCCUCUUGCCUCUGACUCUAGGUCCCAAGUACCCUGAACCUCCCUGAAGACACUAAGGGUAUUCAGACUUUUAGUCUGAGUUUUAAGAUUAGUUCCUCAGGUGUCCAACAUGACCUUUCAAAGGGCCCCAUUUAUGUCUUGGCUCUGAGCAGAGCAACCCUUCUACCAUCCCUGACAUUGUUCAGUCAUGUUCAACUCUUUGGAAUCCCAUGGACUAUUGCACAGCAGGCCCUUCUAUUCUCCACUAUCUAAGUGUCCAAGAGCAUGUUUAUUGUUCCCAUGACAUUACCUAUCCAUCUCAUCCCUUGCCAACCCUGUUUCUUAUAGCCCUCAAUAUUUUCCAAUAUCAGAGUCUUUCCCCUUAAGUCCUGUCUUUUCUUUAUGUGGCCAGGUAUUUAAGCUUCUGUAUUUGACUUUCCAGCAAAUAGUUUGAAUUAAUUUCUUUGCAUCUUGGUAGAUUUGGUCUCCUUGCUGUCCAAGGAACUCCCCAAAGUUUUCUCCAGAACAGUCUUCUCCCUGACAAUUGAGGAAAAUAUUUACUUCUCUGGGAAAUAACCUUCCUCUGGGCUUUUCCCUGACUUUGGGCAAGCUGACUUAAUUUCAUCUUCAAAAUGGGCUUAAUUAUAUAUGUGUGUGUAUCUAUAUACAUAUAUCUAUUUGUAGACAUAUGUCUUCAUAUAUAUACAUGUAUGUGUGCAUACAUAAGUUCACACACAUAACUUGUUUUACAAGACUGUAAGAAAAGUGAUUUAUAAACUUUAAGGCAUUAUAAAUUGUCAUUUGUAGUAAAGGAGCCUGCUAGGGAGAAAAGCACAAGGUUUUACACUUAGUAAAUGUGCAAUGCAGAAUGAGAAAAGAUUGGGAGGAUAUACCGUAAUACCUUUCAUUAUAGUCACUCAAAUCUGCAGCUACAUUAGGUUGGCGAGACUUGGGUUCAAAUCUUGCUCCAGACAAUUAAUUAGCUAUGAAACUCUGGACUAGUCACUGUGUCACAAGCUUUCUCAUCUGUAAAAUGACAGUGCUAGAUUCAAGAGCCUUCAAGUUCCCUUCCAGCUCUAGCUUUGUGUGUUUGGUGAUUUUGAGCAGACAUCUCUGAGGAACAAACUACAAAGCUAACACUGAGAGAAUGGGGCUAACUGCUUCUUAACUGACCAUGAAAUGCCCCCCCCCCUAAAGCACCAGAAAGAGUGGGCUCAGGCAUGAUUCCAGGCAGUUGUCUGUACUGUGACUUGGGCAAGAGAUAGGGCCUCUGCAGAGGAAGGACCCUGCAUCUGACGCCGAAAGCUCAUGGAGCUGUGCCAGGCUGCAGGAGGUAAAGAGGACAGAGGUUCCACCACCGCCCCCUUCCCCAUUCCCAGGCCUAUGGCCCCCUCCCCAGGUGGACAGCUUGAUUAAACAGUCGGUGCUGCUGGAAUUACUGCACAGCUGGCACUCCCCCCCCUCCAAGCACCCGGAGCAGAGCAGCAGCACAGAUUAAAAUCUCCAAUUAACGUUAAAGUGAAGAGGCACUGAGGAUGCCAAGGAAGCUGGAUGGGGGACCCUAAGCUGCCUGAGUUCCCCCUUUUUUUUUUUCCAACCCACCUCUUGGUCUAGAAGCUUUAGGCUCUUCUUACAGGUUCAAGUGUCAGGAGCCCCAGCCCUGAAUCUGAGAGCCUUCAUUGCCCAGCCUCCUCCUGCAGCAGAGUCUAAGGUCUCUCUCCGGGUUUUGUAGUGCCCCGAGGGUGACGACUUUCCUCAGUUCUGUCCCCCUCACCACGCAAGGCCGGCGAAACUGGCAUCCAAGGGCUAACAGUGCUCCCGACUCCUCACCAGGGUGGGAGAAGUGGGGUAAUGAGGUGGGCAGUGCCUUUCAGUGGGGGCUGCCUUCCCCAGACCUGUCCAGAUACGUUCCCAGGAUGCCGGGCCACUGUUCAUAACGCCUGGAGACUCGGGACAUUGUUGCUUCCUUUUCCCUGGGGAAAGGGUAAAUAAAGCAGGCAAAUUCCCCAAUAAGAACAAAGCCCAUUACCCUGGGGGUGGGGAUGAAAAGCCCUGCCAUGUUCUGUCCGCACUUCUAGCCUCUCGGCCUGCCCUCCCCAUCUGCUUUCUGUUUCUGUCUCUUGCUUCUGUCCGAUCGAUGCGUGGCAUCCUUCCCCGCUCCCAUCCCUUGCCCAUCUUUUCAGGGGGCAGGGGGCAAGCACAGCUGGACCAGGGAACGGCCCGUCCUCCACCACCUGGGUCCCCAGGCGGCUGCUCAUUAUCUCCUUCGCAGAUUGGGGGUGGGGCAAGAAGCAGAGGGGGACAUGCCCAAGACAGGAUGCUUGAUGAGCCCUCGCCGGCCUCUGCCUGGCUGGCCCGGCUCAAGUUAAAGGCAGCGCUGAGUUUGGACGCCCCCUGCCCCUUUAAGAGAUGAUGGGGUAGGUGCCCAGCUGAUGAGACCUCCUCACACCCACAGAAAUUAGACACCAGGGCAUGAUGCCACCCUCCCAGGCUGGCACAUGCUACCCUGGCAGAGGUUCAACACCCCCCCCCCAUACACACACUUUCCUCCUCUCUAUCUCUGUAUUUUUUUUCUCAGCUCGAAGCACAGCUGAGCCUUAAAGGGCGGGGGUUGGGGGAGCCUAGGCUGGAUGUUGGGGGGGGAGAGCUCCAAUAGCACGUUUUCACCUGCCAUUUAAUUGGAUGUAUUUUUAAUUAAUGGGACCUCAGGGACCGACAUGAGACAAUCUGAUCUCUGAAUAGGGACAGGGGAGGGAUUGGAGAAAGGAGGAGGAUUGGGCCACUGGGUGCGGUUACUGGGAGCUCAGGCCCAUCAAUCACCGGCCACUUUGCGCUCUGGCACCAAAAGCAGAGAGGUGGAGGAGGUGCCAGGAUUCCCCCACCCCUUUUGCAGCCAGGAUGGGGCGGCCUCGCGCUCAGACCCGGGAGGAAGCUCGCGCACUGAAUUGGAACUGAGAAGGAGUAAAGUUGUUCAAGGUUCAAGUUUGCAGACAGAGCUGGCCCAGAGCGGUCAGCAAGGGCCUCUCCAGUUUGCCCCGAAGGGGGCUGGGGAAUGCUAAAGGAGUGGAGGGAAGGGGACCCCCAGGGUGAAGGGCUGGGU